UACGUAGGUGGCAAGCGUUGUCCGGAUUUACUGGGCGUAAAGCGCACGCAGGCGGUCUGUCAAGUCGGAUGUGAAAUCCCCGGGCUCAACCUGGGAACUGCAUUCGAAACUGGCAGGCUAGAGUCUUGUAGAGGGGGGUAGAAUUCCAGGUGUAGCGGUGAAAUGCGUAGAGAUCUGGAGGAAUACCGGUGGCGAAGGCGGCCCCCUGGACAAAGACUGACGCUCAGGUGCGAAAGCGUGGGGAGCAAACAGGAUUAGAUACCCUGGUAGUCCACGCUGUAAACGAUGUCGAUUUGGAGGUUGUGCCCUUGAGGCGUGGCUUCCGGAGCUAACGCGUUAAAUCGACCGCCUGGGGAGUACGGCCGCAAGGUUAAA
rnacentral:rRNA from 1 species